AUCACCUGGGGAUCUUGUUAAAAUGCAGAGUCUGAUUCGGUAAGUCUGGGUUGGAGCCUGGGACGCUGCAUUUCUAAUAGGCUCCCAGGUGAUGCUGC
rnacentral:pre_miRNA from 1 species